GGACAGGUGGUCGAGUGGUUAAUGGCACUGGGCUGUAAACCCAGCGACGAGAGUCUACGGAGGUUCGAAUCCUCCCCUGUCCACCA
rnacentral:tRNA from 1 species